AAUGUUUAUUGACGUUUUACAUUUGAUCAUUCGUUUUCGCACUCGUGUGAAUUGUGGAUAUUAUAUUAAGUGCUUCGUUGCGAUAUACCUGCGUAUUAUAAUUAGUUGUGCAUAAAAUUGAGUCUUGGCGUUCAUUGAAUUAGUGCAUUUCUAGGAUCGAACGGCUUCAGUAACAUAAGCGGAACAGGUGCGGUCGCAAAUGUCAAACACAGCACGAUGAACAACGUGAACUGCAAAAACAAAUAGGUUUAGAUUUUAAACAACAUUCAAGAUCAACUUCACAACGGGCAUGCAUACCGAGGAAAAGAACAUUUUUCGGUAAUCAACAUAAAAUAUCGACGAAGAAACCUCUUCCACUAAUGCAUCUGCUAAUCUUCCCUAAUUUAACAAUGUUUUAAAAGUUAUAAAAACAAAUUUAUGAAACUUUAUAUAGUGAUACUUUAUUGGAACCUUAUUGGAACGUUGUUUGGGUUCAAAAACUCAAACAACGAAUCACAACAUUUUAUAUUAUUCUUAUAUGAACUUUUGCUCCGAAGCUCAUUCACGCUCGAAACCGGACUAUUGAACUUGCUUCUUUCCUCGCAGCGUGCAUUUUUAUUGAAAGUUUUAAACCCAUAUUAAAAAUGUUGAGUGUUAAGGGAAUCAGGAUUGGCCCUAAAGCUCAUGCGUCCUCAGUGAGGCAAGACGAUGAUCGUAUCGUAUCGAGCGCUCUCAACUUCAAGCUUCAUAGACAUCAAAGGAAGGCAGGAAGGCAGGAAGGCAGGAAGGCAGGACGAAAGAACUUUGGUGAAUCAGAAUUUUGAAGUAAAGAAAGAUUUUUUGAAUGGAACAGGGAUCGCCGAUUAAAAAUACAUGACCAGAAGGGUUGCUACUACUACGCACACCAGGAUGCCCUUUUUUGGACCCCCUUGGACUUUGUCUGCUAAUAAGUUUGUAAAUUUUGUUAUUGUUUAUCCAGUAUUUUUUAUGUAAUCUUGAAAUAUCAAUAAGCAAUUUGAUAUUUCAAUGAUAAUUCAAUAAAUAAAUUUUGCGCGCCGUUCCUAAAAAUUCA